ACAGGCAGUGCUCUCUCUUGCUGGCCUCGUAGGACGAUCCUCGGGACCCUGUGCUCUGAGGCCAACUUCCGCCUGGACCCGCUCUGUGAGAGGCCCGACUCCCCUUCAGGCUGUGCUCAUGCACGUGACCCUUUGGGCCAGCUCUGGGCUGGCACUCAGCGCGCACCCUCCCCUGAGGCCCUCGGGGACACAGCUUUGCCCCUCAACGGCCGGAGGCUGGCUCCUUCCACUCUGCUGACACUGAUGGCCCAGUCUCUUGCUUUUAAGAUGUUCUCGAGCACACAUCAUCAGACUCCAGUCCACUGUGUCCCACUAACUGCAAAGGACACGUGCAGAGUGCCCUUGAGCGGCCUCUUCGCGGUUCCACUGGAGGGCAGGGCACCGGCUGCCCUCCUAGACAGAGUGAGGGCUGUGGGGGACCAUCUACCAUCUCUAAAGGAAAUCCCUUGGAGUUCCUCUGGGCUGGAUCUCCAACCCAGUCAAACAGAUCAGAAAGCUUCACUUGUGCAGAGGUUCACAUCAAAGACAGAAAGAUGCUGGGACUGGAGCCAGGAGCCAGGGAUGCUUUAAGGAAAAAUUUGUCAUAGCCUGUAUGGACUUCCACUGAUGCACCAGCUCUGGCACCUUCGAUAAUCAGGCAGUCUGUUCACUUGUUGCCCCGUCAGCUGGGAGAGGAAGAACAGAAACAGGCCACCAACCGAUCUCUUGUGAACGCAAGGCAGAGAGCUCAGUGAAAAGACUGAGCAAACAAUUUACAUAGAACUCUCUUCUGGCAUUCGGAGCAAUCAAUUUCAUGUUACAACUUUCACCGAGACUUCUAAAUCUUCUUCAA